UACGUAGGUGGCAAGCGCUGUCCGGAUUUACUGGGCGUAAAGAGCGCGCAGGCGGUCAGAUAAGUCGAAUGUGAAAGCCCCCGGCUUAACUGGGGAGGGUCAUUCGAUACUGUUCGACUCGAAGGCAGGAGAGGGAAGCGGAAUUCCCGGUGUAGUGGUGAAAUGCGUAGAUAUCGGGAGGAACACCAGUGGCGAAGGCGGCUUCCUGGCCUGUUCUUGACGCUGAGGCGCGAAAGCUAGGGGAGCAAACGGG
rnacentral:rRNA from 1 species